rnacentral:rRNA from 1 species
AUGGCGGAUGCAACUCUUUACAUGCAGCGCCGCAGGUACACCAGGGAGCUCCACGACGUCGAUCUCCAUGGCAACCACAAGCUCCACAUCAUUUGCACAAGCAAGGGUGAAGACGUGGACAAGAUGCUAUCCACGCUCAGGAGGAAGCUCGGCGGAAUGCCCGUCAAACUAGUCGGCGUUGAUGUCGAGUACACGCACUACGUGAAGCCACAGCGGGCAGCAGUGCUCCAGCUAUGUGUAGAAAAAGAAUGCCUUGUCUACCACAUCUCUCCAGCUAAAGACAUGCCAAUGUAA